GAGUGGUGCAGAAGAGUUGAAGCGGUCUUCCCCCGCCCCGGUUUUAAUGGGAAUGUGAAGUCCCAUCGGCAUCAGUCAGAAUGGAUAUUGUCUACGAGCAUUAACAGCGUGAAGUCUGCAGGACUACGGGACACACCAUCUCCUUGUUGACGGUGAAUGAAGUGACAGAAAUGGGAUUAUGUUUGAACUUUUUUUAUUUGAUUGUGUACCUGAACAUGCACUAUGUAGAAUCGUUUGUGAAGCUGGAUUGUGUGAAGUCAGUAAUAGGAAUAUUUAACGAGGAUGCCGAACUACCAUGCAAUAUGGAAGCAGCAGGGAUGAAAACACUCACUCUAGCAAAACUACAUGCAAAUGGAUCGAGUGAUAAAAUCGUAUAUAAAUUUAACUCAAAUGAAAAUGACAGUGGAGUUCAGGGUCGAAUUAAAUUACAUCAAGAUUCACAAAAUGUGUCACUGAUAAUCCAGAAAAUAGAAGCAUCCG